rnacentral:rRNA from 1 species
UUUUGGACAAUGGGCGCAAGCCUGAUCCAGCCAUUCCGCGUGCAGGAUGAAGGCCCUCGGGUUGUAAACUGCUUUUGUACGGAACGAAAAGGUGUCGGUUAAUACCUGGCGCUCAUGACGGUACCGUAAGCAUAAGCACCGGCUAACUACGUGCCAGCAGCCGCGGUAACACGUAGGACGCAAGCGUUAUCCGGAAUUACUGGGCGUAAAGAGCGUGUAGGCGGUGCUGUAAGUCAACCGUGAAAGCUCCCGGCUAAACUGGGAGAGGUCGGAUGAGACUGCAGCGCUAGUGGGUCGUAGAGGAGUGUGGAAUUCCGGGUGUAGUGGUGAAAUGCGUAGAGAUCCGGAGGAACGCCAGAGGCGAAGGCGGCACUCUGGACGACACCAGACGCUGAGACGCGACAGCACGGGGAGCGAAC